GACGUAGGGCGCGAGCGUUGUCCGGAUUUAUUGGGCGUAAAGAGCGUGUAGGCGGCCAGGUAGGUCUGCUGUGAAAACUCGAGGCUUAACCUCGAGAUGUCGGCGGAAACCAUCUGGCUAGAGUCCGGAAGAGGAGAAUGGAAUUCCCGGUGUAGCGGUGAAAUGCGCAGAUAUCGGGAAGAACACCCGUGGCGAAGGCGGUUCUCUGGGACGGUACUGACGCUGAGAACGCGGAAAGCGUGGGGAGC
rnacentral:rRNA from 1 species